rnacentral:rRNA from 1 species
AUUGAACGCUGGCGGCAGGCCUAACACAUGCAAGUCGAACGAGUGGCGGACGGGUGAGUAAUGUCUGGGAAACUGCCUGAUGGAGGGGGAUAACUACUGGAAACGGUAGCUAAUACCGCAUACCAUCAGAUGUGCCCAGAUGGGAUUAGCUGGUUGGUGGGGUAACGGCUCACCAAGGCGACGAUCCCUAGCCAGUCUGAGAGGGUGAACGGCAAAACUGGAACUGAGACACGGUCCAGAUUCCAACGGGAGGCGGCAGUGGGAAAUAGUGCCAAAUGGGCGAAAGCCUAAUGAGCAAAUGCGGCGUAUAUGAGAAAGGCCUUCGGGUUGUAAAGUACUUUCAGAGGGAAGGCGUUAACCACAGAAGAAGCACCGGCUAACUCCGUGCCAGCAGCCGCGGUAAUUC